rnacentral:rRNA from 1 species
GAUGAACGCUAGCUACAGGCUUAACACAUGCAAGUCGAGGGGAAACGGCAUUUAGUGCUUGCACUGAAUGGACGUCGACCGGCGCACGGGUGAGUAACGCGUAUCCAACCUUCCCAUUACUGUGGGAUAACCUGCCGAAAGGCAGACUAAUACCGCAUAGUCUUCGAUGACGGCAGCAGAUUUGAAGUAAAGAUUUAUCGGUAAUGGAUGGGGAUGCGUCUGAUUAGCUUGUUGGCGGGGUAACGGCCCACCAAGGCAACGAUCAGUAGGGGUUCUGAGAGGAAGGUCCCCCACAUUGGAACUGAGACACGGUCCAAACUCCUACGGGAGGCAGCAGUGAGGAAUAUUGGUCAAUGGACGAGAGUCUGAACCAGCCAAGUAGCGUGCAGGAUGACGGCCCUAUGGGUUGUAAACUGCUUUUGUAUGGGGAUAAAGUCAAUCACGUGUGAUUGUUUGCAGGUACCAUACGAAUAAGGACCGGCUAAUUCCGUGCCAGCAGCCGCGGUAAUACGGAAGGUCCGGGCGUUAUCCGGAUUUAUUGGGUUUAAAGGGAGCGUAGGCCGGAGAUUAAGUGUGUUGUGAAAUGUAGACGCUCAACGUCUGACUUGCAGCGCAUACUGGUUUCCUUGAGUACGCACAACGUUGGCGGAAUUCGUCGUGUAGCGGUGAAAUGCUUAGAUAUGACGAAGAACUCCGAUUGCGAAGGCAGCUGACGGGAGCGCAACUGACGCUUAAGCUCGAAGGUGCGGGUAUCGAACAGG